rnacentral:rRNA from 1 species
CGUCGUCCCUAGCUUUCGCGCCUCAGCGUCAGUGUCGGCCCAGCAACCCGCCUUCGCCGCAGGUGUUCCUCUCGAUAUCUACGCAUUUCACCGCUACACCGAGAAUUCCAGUUGCCCCUUCCGCACUCUAGCCCGACAGUAUCACUUGACCUAUCCGAGUUAAGCCCGGAGAUUUCACAAGUGACUUGUCGUGGCCGCCUACGCGCCCUUUACGCCCAG